rnacentral:rRNA from 1 species
UACGUAGGGGGCAAGCGUUGUCCGGAAUCAUUGGGCGUAAAGAGCGUGUAGGCGGUCCGAUAAGUCCGCUCUGAAAGCCCGGGGCUCAACCCCGGGAGGCGGGCGGAUACUGUCGGGCUAGAGUCCGGAAGAGGCAAGUGGAAUUCCUGGUGUAGCGGUGAAAUGCGCAGAUAUCAGGAGGAACACCUAUUGCGAAGGCAGCUCGCUGGGACGUUACUGACGCUGAGACGCGAAAGCGUGGGGAGCAAACAGG